rnacentral:rRNA from 1 species
UGGGGAAUUUUCCGCAAUGGGCGAAAGCCUGACGGAGCAAUACCGCGUGCGGGAGGAAGGCCUUUGGGUCGUAAACCGCUUUUAACAGGGAAGAAGUUCUGACGGUACCUGUUGAAUAAGCCUCGGCUAACUCCGUGCCAGCAGCCGCGGUAAGACGGAGGAGGCAAGCGUUAUCCGGAAUUAUUGGGCGUAAAGCGUCCGCAGGUGGCCUAUCAAGUCUGUUGUUAAAGCCCAGGGCUCAACUCUGGAUCAGCAAUGGAAACUGAAAGGCUAGAGUACGGUGGGGGUAGAGGGAAUUCCCAGUGUAGCGGUGAAAUGCGUAGAUAUUGGGAAGAACACCAGUGGCGAAGGCGCUCUGCUGGGCCGUAACUGACACUCAUGGACGAAAGCUA